rnacentral:rRNA from 1 species
UACGAAGGGGGCUAGCGUUGUUCGGAUUUACUGGGCGUAAAGCGCACGUAGGCGGAUUGUUAAGUGAGGGGGUGAAAUCCCAGGGCUCAACCCUGGAACUGCCUUUCAUACUGGCAAUCUUGAGUCCGGAAGAGGUGAGUGGAACUCCUAGUGUAGAGGUGGAAUUCGUAGAUAUUAGGAAGAACACCAGUGGCGAAGGCGGCUCACUGGUCCGGUACUGACGCUGAGGUGCGAAAGCGUGGGGAGCAAACAGG